rnacentral:lncRNA from 1 species
CGGGCUCCACUCACACCCGUGGAGGGAUGCCGGAUGGUGAAGGACGGGGAUCGCCGGGUAGGGCCCAGCACUCCGAAAAAACUUUUAAGGAUUUAUCAGACCCGGGUCCUCCUGCGUGGCACGCCGACUCGGCCAUCCGGCCGCCUGGUAAUAUGGUUCAUCAGUAUCAAAUUCCGCACUAUACGAAAAGGUAUAGUGCGGAAUUGAGCGCUGGGACAUUAAUGAAUUUCCAGCGAUAGAUGAUGAUUUUGCUUUUUUUGUCUUUUCCAGUUAAAUUUCUUCGCGCCUUUUGAUUUCUAUUUUUUAACGCUAUUUUAAAUAACUCUUCUCGAAAACUCAAAAUAUUAAAAUAUUUCUCCUAAAAUAUUUUUGAUACUCCCGCAUUUAUACCCUUAAUUAAAAAAAAAUCAAAGCAGGAAAACCACGCGGUUUUUUUUAAAUUUCCUUUUCUACAUCUCGAGAGGAACAUAAUAUGAGAAGAAAAAAUUUCGCAAGUAUAUUUACAAUAAUUACGUAGAAAAUUUAUAAAAUUUUAACGGGACUGUGGUAGAGACUUUAUGAGGUAAUUUAUGAUGAAAUACGCGAUUAUUUGUGUGUUUAGCAUCACAAUAAAAAUAUAAGAAUAAUCCAUUUUUACAUAUACAGUGAUGUUAUAUAGUAC